AAGUCGUAACAAGGUUUCCGUAGGUGAACCUGCGGAAGGAUCAUCGUUGGAUGUUUUUUGGAUGUGGGUAUUUUUUUCUUGCAAAUCCCAACCAAGAGGAGAGGCGUUGACUGAGGCUUUUGUGUGGAGGGAAAAAGAUACAAAACUUUCAACAACGGAUCUCUUGGCUCUCA
rnacentral:misc_RNA from 1 species